rnacentral:tRNA from 2 species
GCGCCCGUAGCUCAAUUGGAUAGAGUAUUGGACUUCGAAUCCAAGGGUUACAGGUUCGAUUCCUGUCGGGCGCACCA